CCUCCCCCGCGGAGCCGCCGGCUCGGCCUACCAGCCCGGGGGCUCCGAGGCUCGCGCCGGAGGCGGGGCAUCGCCGCGCCGGCCGCCAACGGCCACUGCAACGGUCCCUACCGGGGAGGGCCGGCUUUUGCCGGCUUCCGGAGAAGGGAGGAAAGAGAGAGGUUUACCUAACACUGUAAAGAGAACGUUCAAUGAAAUACAAAGAAAAAGAUGAUUUUUUUGCUCCAAGAGAAUUAUUCCAGCCUUGGGGUGGAGUGGGUGUGGACAGUGAGCAGAAAAACAAGAAACCAAGUUCUGGGAGGAAAUAAAAUGAAUAUAAUCAGUGGAAAAUUCAGCAACGCAAUAUUGUGUGACAACAGUAAAUGACCAAUUUAUAAUUUAAAUUCUAUGAAAAAGAGAUUUAGAAGAGAGUUCUACCAAACCCACUGUUCCCUAGGGAAUAAAAUGAGUAACGCUGACUGGCAACAGUGCAUCCUGAGGGAGCCUGGAGAAACAACAGCAGCCUCCGACCUCAAGAUAUCCUGGUAGUGCUGUGACAGUGUCUUAAGUAGGGCAUGUUGAUAGAUGGAAAAGGACGGCAAACUCGAGGUGCUGAUUCAGGAAGAAGCAGAUUCCAAGAUGGAAGAGAAAAUAUCGAGAGAAAUAUGCCGAGAGAAGAAUCCAGGCAGAAUGGAAUCCAGGCAGAAUGGUGAAUGGAAGGUUCGGGUGACCAAGAGAAAGGAAGGGUGACUCAGCAAGUCUGUAGUUUCAGCUCUUGUAUAGUACGUUAUACUUGAAAAGCUGAAGCCUUUUCUCGGGGAAGAGUCAGAACGGCCUGGAGGGCUUGCUAAAGCGCUGCUGGCUGGGCCCCGCCCGCUGAAUGACUAAUGGAGACUCUGAGGGCCGGCUGGUAAUUUGAGUUUCUAACAAGCCCUGUUUCGAUGCUGGUACAGCCGAUCUAGGGAAAAUAUUGGAACAAGGAAAAAACUAAGAAGAAAUUUUAAAAAGUAAUCAAAGGCGGCCAAGUGAGGUGGCUCACGCCUGUGAUCCU
rnacentral:lncRNA from 1 species